rnacentral:rRNA from 1 species
GUCUUUUUGAGUUAUUUUUAAAGUCUGACCUGCCCACUGAAUAAAUUUUAAAUGGCCGCAGUAUUUUAACUGUGCAAAGGUAGCAUAAUCAUUAGUCUUUUAAUUGAAGGCUGGUAUGAAUGGUUGGACGAAGUAUAAGCUGUUUCAUAUAAAAUUAUAUUAGAAUUUUAUUUUUUAGUUAAAAAGCUAAAAUUUUAUUAAAAGACGAGAAGACCCUAUAAAUCUUUAUAUUUUUAUAUAUAUAAAUUUUAUAGAUUUUUUUUAUUUUUAUAUACAAAAAUAUUUUAUUGGGGUGAUAUUAAAAUUUAAUAAACUUUUAAUUAAUAUUAAAUCAUUAAUUUAUGAAUUGUUGAUCCAUUUUUAAUGAUUAUAAAAUCAAGUUACUUUAGGGAUAACAGCGUAAUUUUUUUUGAGAGUUCAUAUCGAUAAAAAAGUUUGCGACCUCGAUGUUGGAUUAAGAUAUAUUUUUAGGUGUAGCUGCUUAAAUAUAAAGUCUGUUCGACUUUUAAANUCUUACAU